GGAGGCCUACGGGGCGCAGCAGUGAGGAAUAUUGGUCAAUGGGCGAGAGCCUGAACCAGCCAAGUCGCGUGAGGGAAGACGGUCCUAUGGAUUGUAAACCUCUUUUGCCGGGGAGCAAAAAGCGGUACGUGUACCGCAUCGAGAGUACCCGGAGAAAAAGCAUCGGCUAACUCCGUGCCAGCAGCCGCGGUAAUACGGAGGAUGCGAGCGUUAUCCGGAUUUAUUGGGUUUAAAGGGUGCGUAGGCGGCCUUUUAAGUCAGCGGUGAAAGUCUGUGGCUCAACCAUAGAAUUGCCGUUGAAACUG
rnacentral:rRNA from 1 species